rnacentral:rRNA from 1 species
GACGAACGCUGGCGGCGUGCUUAACACAUGCAAGUCGAACGAGACGAUUGAAAGCUUGCUUUUGAAAGUCGAGUGGCAAACGGGUGAGUAACGCGUAGGCAACCUGCCUUCGAGAUGGGGACAACAGUCCGAAAGGACUGCUAAUACCGAAUGUUGUGACGAAACCACAUGGAUUCGUCAUUAAAGAUGGGCCCUCUAACUUGUAAGCUAUCGCUCGAAGAUGGGCCCUGCGUCUGAUUAGCUGGUUGGUGGGGCAACGGCCUACCAAGGCGACGAUCAGUAGGGGUUCUGAGAGGAAGGUCCCCCANAUUUGGAACUGAGACACGGUCCAAAACUCCUACGGGAGCAGCAGUGAGGAAUAUUGGGUCAAAUGGGCGAGAGCCUGAACCAGCCAAGUAGCGUGCAGGAAGA